rnacentral:rRNA from 1 species
GAUGAACGCUCGCUGUGUGCCUAAUACAUGCAUGUUGAACGGGAUGUAGCAAUACAUUCAGUAGCGAAUGGGUGAGUAACACGUACCUAACCUACCUUUAAGACUGGGAUAACUAUUGGAAACAAUAGCUAAUACCGGAUAUAGUUAUUUAUCGCAUGAUGAGUAAUAGAAAGGAGCUUCACAGCUUCACUUAAAAAUGGGGGUGCGGAACAUUAGUUAGUUGGUAGGGUAAUGGCCUACCAAGACGAUGAUGUUUAGCCGGGCCGAGAGGCUGUACGGCCACACUGGGACUGAGAUACGGCCCAGACUCCUACGGGAGGCAGCAGUAAGGAAUUUUCCACAAUGAGCGAAAGCUUGAUGGAGCGACACAGCGUGCAGGAUGAAGUUCUUCGGAAUGUAAACUGCUGUUAUAAGGGAAGAAAAAAUAGAAUAGGAAAUGAUUUUAUCUUGACGGUACCUUAUUAGAAAGCGACGGCAAACUAUGUGCCAGCAGCUGCGGUAAUACAUAGGUCGCAAGCGUUAUCCGGAAUUAUUGGGCGUAAAGCGUCCGUAGGUUUUUUGCUAAGUCUGGAGUUAAAUGCUGAAGCUCAACUUCAGUCCGCUUUGGAUACUGGCAAAAUAGAAUUAUAAAGAGGUUAGCGGAAUUCCUAGUGAAGCGGUGGAAUGCGUAGAUAUUAGGAAGAACACCAAUAGGCGAAGGCAGCUAACUGGUUAUAUAUUGACACUAAGGGACGAAAGCGUGGGGAGCAAACAGGAUUAGAUACCCUAGUAGUCCAAGGGCGAAUUCCACAGUGGAUAUCAAGCUUAUCGAUACCGUCGACCUCGAGGGGGGGCCCGGUACCAAAUAUAUGUUCACUUUAGUGAGGGUUA